rnacentral:lncRNA from 1 species
GGUGGCAAAGUAAGGAGGACUGUGACAGAGGUAGGGUAAUGGGCUGGGAAGGCCACAGAGUAGGGACAUAGUGAAUUAACCCCAUCAGGGAGAGGUGAGGCAGAGGCCAAAUGUGUGGGGAAGAGUCUGGAGAUGUUCACCUGGUCCCGCCUGAGCUAUCUAAGGAGGGAACGACUUGCUACCAAACCCUGUCAUGUCACUCUCCAGUUCUUUCACAGUUACAGAGCCCAUUGCCAGGGCUGGAAUGCAGACUUCCCAAGCAAAGAGAAUUGUUUCUCCUCUGCUUCCUCCUCUUUCUCCCCUUCCUCCUUUUGUCCCCAAAGCACCCAGCAAAUGUGAAGACAGAGAAAGGAAGGAAUGGUGAGCAAGAAGAAUCCCUAAUGCCAGUGGAGUUGGUAAGAGAGUGUAGAGAUUGCAUCCCUGGAGGCUAGCAAACGACAAAAGAAACUUCGUCUGGAACCAGUCAAAGUCGGGAGACCUGCGUUGUGCCGACUCUCGAUGCGAUUGUUUUGGAAUUUUGCUGAAGCUCUCUUGCAGAAUUGCUCUGUAAAUGGCAAGAAGAAAUGCCUUUCACUAUAAACAGAAAAUAAAGCUUUCACAAGUUG